AAUUUAAGAAUUAUUCACAGAAGCGAGAUGACAAAGGGGACGUCAUCAUUUGGUAAGCGUAGCAAUAAGACGCAUAAGUUGUGCCGCCGCUGUGGCUCCAAGGCCUACCACCUUCAAAAGUCGACCUGUGGCAAAUGUGGCUACCCUGCCAAGCGCAAGAGAAAGUAUAAUUGGAGUGCCAAGGCUAAAAGACAAAAUACCACCGGGACCGGUCAGAUGAGGCACCUAAAAAUUGUAUACUGCAGAUUCAGGCAUGGAUUCCGUGAAGGAACAACACCUAAACCCAGGAGGGCAGCUGUUGCAGCAUCCAGUUCAUCUUAAGAAUUUCAACAAUUAGUCACACAAUAAAUGUUUUGGUUUU